AGAGACAGCAGUAGCCGCGGGAAUACGUAGGGUGCGAGCGUUAAUCGGAAUUACUGGGCGUAAAGCGUGCGCAGGCGGUUAUAUAAGACAGAUGUGAAAUCCCCGGGCUCAACCUGGGACCUGCAUUUGUGACUGUAUAGCUAGAGUACGGUAGAGGGGAUGGAACUCCGCGUGUAGCAGUGAAAUGCGUAGAUAUGCGGAGGAACACCGAUGGCGAAGGCAAUCCCCUGGGCCUGUACUGACGCUCAUGCACGAAAGCGUGGGGAGCAAACAGGAUUAGAUACCCCUGUAGUCCCUGUCUCUUAUACA
rnacentral:rRNA from 1 species